rnacentral:rRNA from 1 species
AUGAACGCUGGCGGCGUGCCUAAUUCAUGCAAGUCGAGCGAACGGACGAGAAGCUUGCUUCUCUGAUGUUAGCGGCGGACGGGUGAGUAACACGUGGAUAACCUACCUAUAAGCCUGGGAUAACUUCGGGAAACCGUAGCUAAUACCGGAUAAUAUUUUGAACCGCAUGGUUCAAAAGUGAAAGACGGUCUUGCUGUCACUUAUAGAUGGAUCCGCGCUGCAUUAGCUAGUUGGUAAGGUAACGGCUUACCAAGGCAACGAUGCAUAGCCGACCUGAGAGGGUGAUCGGCCACACUGGGACUGAGACACGGUCCAGACUCCUACGGGAGGCAGCAGUAGGGAAUCUUCCGCAAUGGGCGAAAGCCUGACGGAGCAACGCCGCGUGAGUGAUGAAGGUCUUCGGAUCGUAAAACUCUGUUAUUAGGGAAGAACAUAUGUGUAAGUAACUGUGCACAUCUUGACGGUACCUAAUCAGAAAGCCACGGCUAACUACGUG